CACUCUCCACCUCCACCAGUAAAAUCUCCCCCUCCUCCCUAUUACUACAGCUCACCUCCUCCACCAGUAUAUAUUUACGCUUCGCCACCACCUCCAGUCCACUUCUAAGAGCAUUUAGGAGUUCAGACAUUCGCCACAAUCAAUCAAAUUUUAAUUUGAAACACAAAAUAAAUGGUGGCUUCUGGAGGGAAAGAUUCAAACGUCAAUGGAACAAAGCAAUUAAUUUAUGGAAUAAGAUAUUCAAUUUUUCAAUUGAAGGAUUGAUUAUUCCUGACAUGAACCAGUUUGCUUCUACUUCUCUUUUGGCCUUCUUGCACAUUGUUCUCUUAGUGCGUUCACGUGAACGUAUCUAAGCUUUGAUGCUUCCUAGAGUUUGUUUCUUCGUAAUUUAUUGUUGUAUUGAGGAUAUUGUGUCCUCAUUUAUUCAUUCCUAUUAAUUGUUUUAUCUUGUUCUUGUAAUACUUUCGUGUACUUUAAUUGUGCACAAAUCAAUAAGAAGAUCAAUUUCGUUA